CAAAGACGCAAUGAACUGUAGAACCAAAACUUUAAUGUAUGCUUAUGCCUUUCUAGGCUUGUUUUGGCUGGUGGGAUGGAGAGUAUGUGACCACCUCCAGAAGCUACUGCAAAGAGCAAGUUAUGCAGAGGAGGUGAGCUCAUGUGGUGCCUGAGGGAAACACAGCUGGGGCGUGGAAGCAAGUCAGAGAAACUGCGUUCUAGGAAAGGAGUUCAGACGUGUUUCUGGCUCUUUAGUUAUUUGCUUAAUGGUUACUGAAUGCUGCCCUGGGGUACAGGUGACGGUCCGUGGCACCGAACAGACAGUUCUCUCACUCAGCGCUCCAACGCAGCACUUUGGAAAGCACCCUGUUACGGCAUGUUGGAUAAAGAGAGUCCCCCACAUACGAGAUUUGCCGCAGUUUUCC
rnacentral:lncRNA from 1 species